AUCGAAUCUACGUUAGCAAUAGAAGGACCCCACCAUGCACCCUUGUGUCAUAGUAUGAAUAUUUCAGAUAAAAAAUGUACCUCAACCACCGAAGCUCUUCUAUUCAACGAAACCAUGCAGAACCCCAUAGUUGGAAGCCUUGGUCAUCAACAGAAUUAAAGGCCUUGGCUUGGCCUCAAAAAUACUCAACAACCAUUAAGUGUGAGCUCUAGCAGAAUGAACCUAGAUUUUAGUGCAAUAAACCCAUGCUUGCACACAAUGAACUGCUUGACAAGUGUUACUCCUUUUUUUUCUUUCUUUUUUUUUCGUAGAUAAGUACCUCCAAAGCACACCUAAGAAUUAUAUAUAUAAAAAAAAAAUGCCUGCCAAAAUUCGGACUGAAAAAUUGACCUUUUAUCUUAUUGAAUAAUGGCCAAAUUUUACGUGAAUAGAAAAUAAAAAUAUUGGUAAUUACCCUAAUUCCAAGUAGAAGAGAAGAUAAAGUUUGGAAGAGAUCUUUUAGCAGUACAUGUAAUGUUGGGAAUUUAGAGUAUCAGAGUGUUGAGAGAAAGAAGUUGCAGAGAAAAAAUAACGCUUAGAAAUGCAGAAUAUACAAG
rnacentral:lncRNA from 1 species